rnacentral:lncRNA from 1 species
GCUCCGACCACCCAAAUCUGACUUGACCGUCGGAGUGUAUACGGCCGCCACCACCGUCGGUUACGGCCGUGUGCGCCUGACAGUUUGUUCAUUUCGUAGGGAGGAAUACGUGGAGUAGCUACAAGUUGGCCACGUGGAAGAGCCAUUUUUGGAGGUCAACAGUUUGGCGCCGUCUGUGGGAAGCGUCAUUCCCCAUUCAAAGUCCUACAUUCCCCGUCGGGGAAGCUACCGGAAAACCGGCGACUGACCUUGAAAAGGGAGGCAUUCUUGAAAAAGAAUAAAAGUCAAGUUACAAUCAAAGUUCUAUCCUUGAAAGAAGAGGUAGGAUGAGCUACAGCCGUGAAGACAACCCCAUCAGAGAGGCCUCUGAGGAGGAAGUACUUCAUAACAAUGUUACUCAUCAGAGACCGCAUCACCGGCGUCGACGAGGUGAAAGAACAGCCGUACUCACCGAAGGAAUGGCCCAGAUAGCCGCAGGCAUGAGAGACAUAGCAGCUCAGAAUAUGGCGAUGCGGGAACUUCUCAUGCAAGCUCAGGGGCACCAGAUGCCCCAAGGAUCGUAUCCGGUACGGGAAACCCCUUUGUCUCACUCUCGAGGCCACAUGAGCCGGCACACCGAACGCCCUCUCGAAAGAGAGGAUAAUACCGAAGCGACAUCUUAUAUGCGGGAGAGCCACCCAUCAGAACCACUCUUGGGGGACAACUUUCCACAUGACCAGAGGUCAGUAAGCGUUUUCGACCGGAUAGGGAACGAUCCUAGCAAUAGGAUCCGCCCUUCAAGAGGGUCGGUCCGGUCAGACAACGAAGAAGAGUAUGUCCCUCCUCCUAGAAAUAGGAAGGAGAGGAGAAACUUAGUCGAUUGGGGGAGCCGUGGGAAAGCACCUCCUCCACCCCAAGACAUCCAAGAUGACCAAGGAUCAGAGGGGCCCUGCCGAUCUUAUGAGAUUGACGACGAUGACGAUAACCUCCCUUUCUCAAGGGAAAUCCGAAGCUUCCCAAUGCCAGCUAAUUUCAUGCCCCCAAAGAUCCCCAAGUACGAGGGAAAAGGGGAUCCGGAGAAGCACCUCACAAAGUAUAUGACACAAAUGAGUCUUAGGGGAGCCUCACCUGCUCUGAAGUGUAGAGCCUUCCAUUUGACACUAGGCGGAGCCGCCGAGGUAUGGUACAGCAGGCUCCCUCCCCUAAGCAUCAGAAGUUGGCCGGAUUUGAAGAAAGCAUUUUUAAACCAGUACCUCUCACGCAGGGAAGGAGAGGCGCCGAUUCAACGCCUGCAAGACAUGAGGCAGGCCCCUGGAGAGACGCUGAAAAGCUAUCUCGCCAGGUUUACAGACGAGAUUACUUACUGCGAACAGGUCACCGACAGAGAAGCCCUUUCGGCCCUGAAAGGUGGUCUCAACAUGAACACUUUAUUUUGGAGGGACGUGCGCAGCAAGAAUCCCUCCACGUACGACGAACUGGUGGAGAUGAUGAGGGUGGAAAUAAUUAGUGAAGAAAUGAUUGAUCAUCGUAACCGUGCCGCGCAGGGACUCCCUCCCCCACAGAGGCAAGUAGGCCGAGGCCCCGCAGCGCACCUUGUUACUCAACAAUGGACCCAAGCAGGGCAUACCAUAGCUCCCACAUCCGGGCAGGCCCUAGCUUCCGCCACGUUAAACGCAGUGCCGGUAUUGGCAUAUGACAGCGCACCCACUGAGGCAGCACCAUCCGGAAGAACUAACGACAAAAAGAAGAAGAAGAGGCCCAAUAGGCCCUUGCCAGGAGCAAGAUUUUGUACUUUCCAUCAACUAUAUGGGCAUGACACCAGUGAGUGUCGGGAUGCCAACCGGCGCCCUAAUCAAAGCAAUCCCCUCACUUCCGGCAGAAAUGAGCACCCCCGCAGAUCCACCUCCCCGAGGAUGGGAGGAAGGGGUCACCAAGGACAAUCUCCUAGCAGAAGAGGAUCGAGAAACCGAGUCCAAUCCAGGAAAGAGAGCCAAGCUCAAUUCGCUGGAAGCCAGGUCAUCAGGGAAAUCGAUACCAUCGUCGGGGGACCCCACGUCGGUGGCAACACCAGGAACGCCCAGAGAAAUUAUACGAGAGAAGCUAAGGGUCCCCCGAUGAUCACCUACAUUGUCGACGAAUCAAAAACAGCAAACAAGAUGGCCCCAAUCACCUUCUCGCAGGAAGACGCGGAGGGAGUUCACCAUCCCCAUUGCGACGCUCUGGUUGUAAGGGCCGUAGUGGCUAGAAACGGAUUAAAACGCAUGCUCGUUGACAACGGCAGCUCCGUGAACAUAUUGUUCGGCUCCACUUUUGACAAAAUGCAAAUUGAACAUGGGUUAAUCCCCAUGACCGACCCACUGUUCGGAUUCACUGGGGACAGCAUCAUCCCACGAGGGCGGAUUACCUUGCCUGUGGAAAUGGGUUCGGCCCCCCUGGUUGCCCAGCAUUUCAUGGAAUUUCUGGUGGUAGAUCAUAGAUCGGCUUAUCAUGGGGUGUUGGGCAGACCGGCUUUAAAAGACCUUUGGGCCGUAACGUCCAUUCACUAUCUGUGCAUGAAAUUCCCAACCGAACGAGGGAUUGCAACGAUCCGGGGCGAUCAGAUGGGCUCUAGGGCAUGCUACCUGAACUCGUUACGAAAAUCGGAGCCCCGGACUGUCAAUGUAAUUCAAGCAGUACCCGCUGAAGCCUGUGCGGAUGUGGAGAUGCUCGACACCCCUGAGCAAGGACAUGCCUCUGAACAAGAGGAAGAUGUCAUAAUGGAAGAGGCUCCUGAACAAGGACACCCUCUUGACGAGUUAGACCCCCGAAUAAUUGAUUAUGAAUCAAACGCGACCCCAAUGGAAGAACUGGAGACUUUUCCAGUCAAUCCAGAAGACCCCAAUCAAGUCCUGCGCAUAGGGAAGUCAUUAUCACCUGAAGCGAGAAUUGAGAUGAUACGAUUCCUGAAAGAAAACCUAGAUGUCUUCGCAUGGAAACAUGAGGAUAUGGUGGGGAUAGAUCCCAGGAUCAGUUGCCAUCACCUUAACAUCAACCCCUCCUAUGCCCCCCAUAGACAGAAGAGACGAGCGCUGAAUCCGGAACGGUACGAGGCACUGAAAGACGAAGUAAGUAAAUUCGAUCGCAGUGGUUUCAUCAGAGAGGUCAUAUACCCGAAGUGGAUAUCCAACCCGGUUCUGGUGAAAAAGUCCAGCGGGAAAUGGAGGGUCUGUGUGGACUUCACAAACCUGAAUAAGGCAUGCCCCAAGGACAGCUUCCCACUUCCAAGAAUUGAUCAUCUGGUCGCCUCCACAUGUUUUCCCCUCCCAUUAUGGCCCCAGCUAUUUCUGAGGAGGUCGCCACAAUGGGCUCGUCCACCCUCACAAUCUCUAAACUCCUACCCAUACCAGAACUCCCUUCCGAGGCCAUCCGUUAAGAAAUUUUUAGUCUGAAUGGGUACUGGAACUUACGGGUUUGAAGGUGUUUCCUAGCCGGAAAUGGUGCAAGAUCGCCGGAAAUACCACUCUCUCUGUCGCCGGAGUUACUUGGAGAACGCCGGAAAUCGCCGAAAACUUGGGAGAAAAUUUUGUUUUUUCGUGGCAAAGGUAGAAACUCUGGCAAGCCCCCAAAGUUCACCUUUUAUAGGAAAGACGAAUCCAAUCUCCACCUUUGAAGUCAAAUACGAUCAAUCUAAACCGUCCGUUGUAUUCUCGAUCCCAGCCGUUGAAAUGAAACGCCAGAUUUGAUCUACGCCCAAGAUGUCGAUGUGGCUUUCACGCUAAAUUAAAACGCGUCGCCUCGGUUAACAACAGCUGUCAAUAAUAAUUACUGGCCGCAGCAGCCUUCUAUGGGAAUGGGUGUGGCACCCAACUGUCACCUUGGAAACACGCAACAGUUGUCAAAUCAUUGGACUUCUGGGUCGCCUCGGAUGAUCUCCUCCCCCCACUUUACAAAGCUUGGCCGCAACCGAUGCGAAGGCCCCAGUCGCUAAUCACCUCGGGCGCUGCGUUCCCUCCAUUGCUUUACGAAGUUCUAGCCAUCUCCCCACGCGUCGACCCUUUUGUCCGUCAACGCUUCGGUGAGAACGAGUCCCCCAACUUUACAAAGCCUGGGCGGACCCGAUGCAAUCGCCCCGUUUCUCUAUCACCUCGGUCGCUGCACCCCCAUCCCACGCUUUGCAGAGCUUGAUCCGUCUCCCUCUUCCUGACAACGCUUCGGUGAAGACUAGUCCCUCAAAUUUUUAUAACGCUUUAACGUACCCGAUGCGAUCGUAUCAUUGGCUCAUCGCCUCGGCUCGCGUCUUUUCAUGCCCCACAAAGUUUCAGCUACCCCCAUGCCGCGACCCGGUCAGGAAAACAAAUCCACGUAUAAUAUAAAUAUUUAUUCUCAGAUUUGGGGGACCACUGUUACGCCUCAUUUUACGAGCCUCGGUACCGACGUACCUAAGCGCCAUCUCGCCACUCCGAACCACUGUUACGCCUCAUUUUACGAGCCUCGGUACCGACGUACCUAAGUGCCAUCUCGCCACUCCGAAUCCGGUGAAAUCAAUUAGACCAUUCCGAACUCCCGAAUCCUCCCCCCCGAAGUAAUACACCGAUUCCUGUCAAUGACGUCCCGAGGUCGGGUUCAAGCCCCGUCAGAAGAUUCGCUGCCAACUUAAGAUUUGCUCUGCAUAUAAGGUUUAAAUUGAUUUGACGUCCCCCAUAAAGCCAUUUGAUGUGACUUAUCAACUUUAUGUCAAUUCAACUCGGGGGAAACAAACUGUCCGCCCACUCUACAAGCGCGGCUGAUUGACGUCUAUGAGCAGACACUUCAUA